AUUGAACGCUGGCGGCAGGCCUAACACAUGCAAGUCGAGCGGAUGAAGGGAGCUUGCUCCUGGAUUCAGCGGCGGACGGGUGAGUAAUGCCUAGGAAUCUGCCUGGUAGUGGGGGAUAACGUCCGGAAACGGGCGCUAAUACCGCAUACGUCCUGAGGGAGAAAGUGGGGGAUCUUCGGACCUCACGCUAUCAGAUGAGCCUAGGUCGGAUUAGCUAGUUGGUGGGGUAAAGGCCUACCAAGGGGACGAUCCGUAACUGGUCUGAGAGGAUGAUCAGUCACACUGGAACUGAGACACGGUCCAGACUCCUACGGGAGGCAGCAGUGGGGAAUAUUGGACAAUGGGCGAAAGCCUGAUCCAGCCAUGCCGCGUGUGUGAAGAAGGUCUUCGGAUUGUAAAGCACUUUAAGUUGGGAGGAAGGGCAGUAAGUUAAUACCUUGCUGUUUUGACGUUACCAACAGAAUAAGCACCGGCUAACUGCGU
rnacentral:rRNA from 1 species